rnacentral:misc_RNA from 1 species
UCCGGUUUGUCACCGGCAGUCUCAUUAGAGUGCCCUUUCGUAGCAACUAAUGACAAGGGUUGCGCUCGUUGCGGGACUUAACCCAACAUCUCACGACACGAGCUGACGACAGCCAUGCAGCACCUGUGUUACGGCUCCCUUUCGGGCACGCCUAAAUCUCUUCAGGCUUCCGUACAUGUCAAGGGUAGGUAAGGUUUUUCGCGUUGCAUCGAAUUAAUCCACAUCAUCCACCGCUUGUGCGGGUCCCCGUCAAUUCCUUUGAGUUUUAGCCUUGCGGCCGUACUCCCCAGGCGGGGAACUUAAUGCGUUAGCUUCGGCACGGACGGAGUCGACACCGCCCACACCUAGUUCCCAUCGUUUACGGCGUGGACUAC